rnacentral:rRNA from 1 species
UACAGAGGUGGCAAGCGUUGUUCGGAAUUACUGGGCGUAAAGGGCGCGUAGGCGGCCUUCUAAGUCAGACGUGAAAUCCCCCGGCUUAACCUGGGAACUGCGUCUGAUACUGGGAGGCUUGAAUCCGGGAGAGGGAUGUGGAAUUCCAGGUGUAGCGGUGAAAUGCGUAGAUAUCUGGAGGAACACCGGUGGCGAAGGCGGCAUCCUGGACCGGUACUGACGCUGAGGCGCGAAAGCUAGGGUAGCAAACAGG